CGGUACAGUGAAACUGCGAAUGGCUCAUUAAAUCAGUUAUGGUUCCUUUGGUCGCUCGCUCCUCUCCGUACUUGGAUAACUGUGGUAAUUCUAGAGCUAAGUACAUGCCGCACGGGCGCUGACCCCCUUCGCGGGGGGGAUGCGUGCAUUUAUCAGAUCAAAACCAACCCGGUCAGACUCCCUCCCGGCUCCCGGCCGGGGGGCGGGCGCCGUGCGCGCUUUGGUGACUCUAGAUAAGCUCUCGGGCUCGAUCGCAUCUGCCCCCCGUGGCGGCGUACGACCCAUUCGAACGUCUGCCCUAUCAACUUUCGAUGGUAGUCUGCUGUGCCUACCAUGGUGACCACGGGUGACGGGGAAUCAGGGUGUCGAUUCCGGCAGCAGGGAUGACCUGAGUAAACGGACUACCACAUCCAAUGAAGAGCAGCUAGGCGCGCAAAUUACCCACUCCCGACCCGGGGAGGUAGUGACGAACAAUAACAAUACAGGACUCUUUCAGAGGCCCUGUAAUUGGAAUGAGUCCACUUUAAAUCCUUUAACGAGGAUCCAUUGG
rnacentral:rRNA from 1 species